rnacentral:misc_RNA from 1 species
GACGAAGAACGUAGCGAAAUGCGAUACUUGGUGUGAAUUGCAGAAUCCCAUGAACCAUCGAGUCUUUGAACGCAAGUUGCGCCCGAAGCCUCGGCUAAGGGCACGUCUGCCUGGGCGUCACGCAUCGCGUCUCCCCCAAACCGCCAAGGCGGAGGGGAAGGAAGAUGGCUUCCCGUGCCUCACCCGGCGCGGUUGGCCUAAAUUUGGAGCCCGCGGCACUUAGCUCACGCGGCGAUAGGUGGUGAACAAGGCCUUGGCCGUGCAAACAACCCGCUGCGAAGCUCUAUGUCACGUGCGCUCGUCGGACCCUUUGAAGUUGCCUUCGGUGACUUAAAACCUUUGCGACCCCAGGUCAGGCGGGGCUACCCGCUGAAUUUAAGCAUAUCAAUAAGCGGAGGA